rnacentral:lncRNA from 1 species
UUUACUGAUAAAAGGACCCAUCAUAAUAGCUGAAAAAGUAAAAUUUAUUAUAAGAGACGAAAUUCACUUAUUUCUACAAAAAUUGAAAUUAUUUUCAAAAGUUAUUAUAACAAAUUUAGGAAGACUCGUCAUAGUAAGUCCUCCCCAUAACUGUUAGUUCACCACUUUUGUCAAAAUUCCUAAUUUCACUCUUGUUUCAUUCAUCUCCUCAUUUUUUUUUUUUCACAAACAUUCUCUCAAGUAGUUGCCUCCACCAUUGAUAUAAUUGCCUCCACAUGUCGCAACGUUGUUGCUUCUCCACGUCAUCCUCUCUCCCAUACACCUUCUCCAACCCAACAUUUUUUCUCUGCAUAAACAAAUUUAUUAUUCUCUUUAUCUCUCUCCCAACCCACUAAUCCAUAAUACAUUCACACAACAAAUGCAACUGAGUUAUUUUGUUUUUCUGAACCAAAUCCUUCUAACCCAAAUGUUUUAUUCUUAAAUUUUCCUUCUUACAGAAGGUUUGUGACCCGUCGUUUCGGUGAUAUAUGAAAUACCAAUUUGGUUUUCCCUCUGUCAAUUUCACUUCUUCGAGCCAACUUUCUUUCUUGGAGCACUACUCCCUUUCUUCGUUUCCCAAUCCACUUGAGUCUGAAAAAAUUGUUUCUCCUUUGCUCGUUUGGUGGUGGUGAGGUGGCUUCGAGCUCGUUUGGUGGUGGUGAGGUGGCUUCGAGCUCGUUUGGUCGUCUGAGGAGGAUGUUGGAGUCUCUACACAAGGCUCAGUGGUGCGUUUCUGUCAUCUUUGUUAGGGGUUUAGUCUACGGUUGAGGGGUUUUCGUUGACGACUAUUCUAAGGUAAAGGCUUACUUGUUAUCUUUUGUUUUGUUGUCGAGGAGGUUGUCGUCGAGGUAGGGUGUCGACAAUCCCUACUGUGGAGAUUUUGUGCUAUGUGAGCGAGGUUUAUCUAAAGCAUCUUGGUGGAGGUUUUGUGUUGUGUUUCUUCUCCUACUGUCAAGGUAAGUAGGUUUCUGAUUGAACAUGAAUGUGUUGAGCCCCUAUUCUUGGUAACAGGGAGUUUAAUGAUUAAUAUUUCUUGGUGUUACGUUUUUCUAAUGUAAUUUAUCUAUUAUUGUACAAGGUUUUAGGGUUUCGAUCAGGGGCUGAGCACAAAACGUGUGGAAGGUUCCAACACAGUGGGUUAAAGUUGGUUGCAAAAGGGCUACACUCAAGUGUCCAACAGUUCAUCAUUUCCAAGUAGGUAAAGUUCAUCCUCUUGUGUUUGCCAUGUUCAUUGUGUUCUGUUAAUUGCCUUAUGAACAGAGAGUGAAUUAUAAUUGAAUUUGGAUUGUAAAGUUUGCAAUUUGAGCAAUUUGAGCAUGUAUGAAUUGCCUAUUUUGAUGAUAGCCUUGAUGGGAAAUAAAUUGUGCAAUUUGAGCAUGGAAACUAAUGUUGAUGUUGUUUUAGUUUGCUGCUAAUUGGUCUAUCUAAAAGACUAUAGCCUUAAUUGAUUAAUCCUCCCCCAAAAUAACCAUCCCCCGACUCUUUUCUGGCCACUGAUGGCCUGGACCGACCGGUCGUCCUGGAUUAUGGCGAUCGGCCUCAGACCGCUCGAUAACCACUCCUCACGUUCGUCCCCCAAAGGACUCGUCAUCUAACCUGCAACCCACCAACAUCUUGAGGUCUUGUACAGACUCGACCAUCGUCCCCUUCUGUUUGGAUGCUGCCAAACGCUCAACGUAGGUUUCAAACCUUAUCACUAGAGCUUCCUUCAAACCAUCCCAAGAACGAUUCUUGACUUUCUCCUUCCAAGCUCUGAACCAGUAACCCGCGCUCCCCUCCAUAGUGAAUUCUGCUAGGCGCACCCUUUCUCCCUCUACCACACCUUGCAACUUGAAGAACUUCUCUACCUUGGAUACCUACCCUAACAGAUCAAACCCUUCGAAAGUGGGUAGUUCUACCCUUUUCUUCCCGCAGGGUUGCACUUGGCGUUCAUCCCCUCUCUCCUUCAUCUUCCUCUCGUCGGUCCCAAUGUUGGCCUUCCUAGUUGUGGCCUCGACCACCCAACCUCCUUAUGAUUUCUCGCAAAUCUUGGCAUAUUGCUUUAUAAUCUUGGCAUAUUGUUGCAUAAUCUGGUUGCAGCGCUCCUUUCUGCGCCUUCAUUCUAUCAAUCGCAAUUUCCUUCACCCCCACACAAUUCCGACGACAUGUCUCGAUAUGGCAGUUUCUUGAAACGGCAGGUUCUGGAAUCUGGCGCCCCCACUUCGAAACGACAAUUUCUUGGUAACGUUUUUAUCCCUUCUUGAUUUUCUGACACUUGUCUCCUAAGGAUACUCGGCAACGCUCCUGAUGAUUUUGCAAUUUCUUGAUAAUCCGACAACUCCUUGAUCCUUCACCCCCACUUCAAUAACGGCAAGUCGAACCAAUUUGUUAGAUUCCUGGGUUUGGAACCUAACGAGAACUCACUCAAAAGAUAGAAACAGAAAGAAAGAAUAGGUCUUCUAUAUUAUUCACAAUAAAAGAAAGCUAUUUUACAAUGACUGGGUUGGGAGCAUAACCUUCCUGGCUGAGGGCAUAACCCUACACAACAAAAAACUCGAUACCCCCUGACACAUAACCGAGUCUUAUUUAUAGAAUUCCUCCACCUUCUAUUUUAAACCAUUAAGUCCUCUCACCCUGUAUCCUAUCACUCAUGGUUCCCUCCCAAUUGUAGGGCAUCAAUUGUAUAUAGAUGGUUAAAAUAUGCCAAACAAAGAAUAAAGUCAUACAAGCAAUGUGUUAUACUAAAAGGUGAAUGGAGUGUACAUCUCAACAAAAGAAUACCAAUCCACCGCUCAAUUAUGCACUUUCUUCAAUUUAGUUUUGCAGCUUGUCUACAAAGUUUCCAGUGGUCUAUCAAGGCCGUUUCGGUCUCCGACAAGGGGGCUGCAAUGCAACAACAAAUUCCUAACUCAAAAACCAACAUACGAGAGCACAAGCCCAUGUUGCAUGAAGGAGGCACAGGUACAUAUUCGUCCCUCUACCCAAACAACCAAACAAAAUCAAAAUAUAUCCUUAUUAAAGAAGUGUAUGAUCAAUUCAUCAAACUUGAUUAAAAGUAUGCAAAUGUAAUUUCUUCUAUAAAACAUGGAACAUAGGCAACCUUUUUUAUGGAGGAAGAAUAAAGAAACAAAAAAUGUUUUUAAAAAUCACUCCUCCCUCUCCCCGAAAGUUUACUUCAUGUUCUGUAUUUCAGAGUAGCAAAGCAUUUAAAAAAAAAUCAGGUGCUAAGAACCAAAACAGUGCGUGAAAAAUUCAACAUACCGAGCAAGUCUGCAAAUGAACCUGUCAAAAGUGAUGAAUCCAUUAACAGAGGUGGUGAGAAGACUUGAUCCUGUGCAUCCUCAAAGUCAAAAAUUGACCGCUGAGCAUCAGAUGUUGCAUUUGAACCAGUAUACGAGAGAAACCCAUUUACAUUGUCAUAAUCAGAGAGCCUUUCCAAAUCAUUCAACAUAUCUGGAAGUUCACCAAACUUGCUCAUCCCAUGCCCACCGGAUGCAUGACUCUCAAGAAAGGAAUCAUCCAUUUGUGAUACAAAUAAUCUUUUGCUUCUCAAUGAAACUCCCCCUUUUUCGGCAUCUAAAUGAGAAAAGCUGGUUUCUGAAAGGGGGACAAAGAAGUGCUCAGAACUUCCAUCAGAUUGACUAUCCCGUGAUGAAUCUGAACUACAUGACCGCAAUGACAGCGCUGCUUCUCUUACCGACCUCUUCAAAUUCUGGAGAUACAAACUGUCACUUUCUACAAAACAAAGCCAUUAUCAGCCACUUUUUCUAACAUAACGAUGAAAUGCCCUUGAAAAGAAUAUCAUAAGCUUCAAUAAAAACUUAACAUAGCUCAAGCAAGAGUUCUUUAAGGAUAAGCAUGGACGGUGCACAAACUCACUUUCCUUUGUGCUGAAGCUUAAUUGAAUUACAAAGAAUGGGAAUAAUCCAAGGGUUGAAUUCUGAACCACUUGGUCAAAGAGGCUUUUCAUACGAUGUCAAGCACCAACUCUCCUAAAAGCAUAAAUUGGGUGGAGGCUCAAGGAUGUUUUAUGACAAAACAUAGACAAAACUCUUAGGACGACAAAGCAUACCUUCAGCUGAACUCGCUACUUCAUUAUUUAAUGGAGGAUCCAGAGAUUUGCUGUCAGAGAGGUUCUCAGUUUGGCUGGUUUGAGGGGCAUUACUCUGGCGCCUUUGGACAUUUCCAGCUUUUCCAGAAGAUGGGGUCAAGCUAAACAAUUUAGGAAGCUUUAAAGUGGGAGGACUAAUAGAAACCUUGUCAAGCUGAAUAUUAGAUAAUCUUGAAGUCACCUCAUUAACAUCAUCAGUGCUAUUGUCCUAAACAAUGUCAAGUGAUAUGGAAACAAUAGGGGCAAAAUCAGACAUGAUAUUGUGAAGGGAUUAAACCAACAAAACCACAUUAUACUAAAAUAGAAGAAUACCAUCCUCCCACUACUCUGUGAUUGUAUAGGUGAUGUUGACCGACCAUUGUGUCUACUCAUUGGUGGUAGAUUUGCAGCUAUACAGUUAACCUUUUCUGUACACUCUGAUAUGGACUUCUGUAUGGUUGGAGCAACGUCCUUGAGUUGGUUAAUAAGAACCUGCAAAUUAAACAUGGAACUGUGUGAAAUUCCUAGGAGAAGAAUCUUUCUUGUAUAGGAACAACAUUUAAGGAUCAACUCUAUACAAGAUACUACUUGAGAUUGAAACCGUAAAAUAAUUCUCGAGAACUUGAAAGAUUCCUCUCACUCUCAUUCUAUAUAUAAGAAAGUGAUACAAAAGUACAUGAUAAAUAGGAUAAUCCUAGCUGCAGACUUAGGUACUACUAUAUAUAUAUACUAGACACAAUAAUGAUGAUAAAUAGAGAAAAUAUUCUAACAAUACUCAAUUCCUACUGCAAAAAAGAUGACGAGGUAGAGCAAAGUAGGCUUAAAAUAUACAUCAAUGUUUAAGUGUAAAACCAGCAGCUAACUGAAAGAGAAUGCAACGCCUCCAUGACCAGAGAUAUAUGCUGAAUAAUAAGCUAACUUGUAUUUUACUCAUCUACUUGCAUCAAUACAUUGCCCACAGACACAGCAAUAAUUAUGUACAAGAAGCUGUCAGCAAACAAGGAAAAUAAAGGGUCUAUUUUCAUCUUAAAGAUACAGUCCACCAACUAAAAAAUGUAAGAAUUUAAUAUAAAUCUAAUCCCUCAUACAUAAAGAACAUGCUAAAAAGAUUUGAACAAAACUUUUUGUCCACUUUUAUAAACAAUACAUUCACAAGCAAAGUAAAUUUUCCGUCCACCAACUAAAAAAUGUAAGAAUUUAUAUAUAAAUCUAAUCCCUCACACAAAGGGCAUGCUAAAAAAAUCUCAACAAAACUUUUUGUCCACUUUUGUAAGUAAUACAUUCCCAAGUAAAGUAAAUUCUCCAGUAAAUAAAUAUAAUUUAAUGCACAAUAAAAGUCCCAAAAAGGACAAUUAACUUCGUAAAAAAAAUAAGGACAUGUACAUCAUUUCUCCUUCUGCAGAUAAACAUCAAGUUGGUAUAAACUGCAUUAGAAAGAAAUCCAACCUUAGUAGAAUUUAGCUUAAUAAAACAUAGUUUAAUGCAUUACCUGGAAACUAGCUAAAUGUUGCUGAUGCUCUGCAAGGGUUGCUGCUAAAGACUCAGCAUGGCCACUCGAACCCUCUUCCUGUCCACUGCGCAAUAUAUCUGGACCCUCUCCAUCAUUUGCUUUUGACUACAGACAAUGGUAUGGUUUAGAUGUUUCUCUAAGCAAUAAAUAAGAUAACCAAAUAUGACAUGGAUCAACCUACUACUAGUCAUUAUUUUUAUCAACUGAAUAAUAAAGAAAAUAAUCAUGGUCUAUAAUUAAAAUUAAUAAUAAUCACCAAGUAUUUAGAGCAAAAAAGUUUCAUUAUCUUAAUUUUCAAAGUCUGGACUAUAAAAACAAAAACUAUAUUAUUACACACACUAAAAUGAUUCGGGAAAACUUACUCAUGAACAAAACAACAAUGUUAAGAAAAGAACCUUUAUCAUGAUUAUAUAGUUCUAUGUUUUUCCAAAGGUAUAUAUUCAGUGUUAUAAUUAUAGAAAAAAGGGAGAUUUAUUUCAUAAUCAUGCAAAAUUAGGACUUUCUCCCUAGACAAAAAUGCAUAAGACCAUGCCAAGUUUAAAAUAGCUGAAUAAACCUCUUUAUUGAAUUGAAAUAACUGAAUCAAAGAAAACAAACAAUAAUUGAGAGCAGGAUCUCCGUCAGUUACCUCAGAACCUAACCUCUCUUACAAAACUCACAAAUCAAAAGCAUGCCUUUAACCCUAGGCUUCCCCUUUAUUUAUCCUAAUUAAUUCCCUCCCAAAAAGGUACUAAAUAAUAGAAAAUAACCCUAUUUGCUAUAAUUAUCUUAUACAAAUAACUUUAGCCUUAUUCACUAUAUUUAACUUAUACGUAAUAAUAUACUGAGAUAUGGCUGUUACUCUAAUUAUCCUUUGCUGAAUAUCUCUCUUGUUACUCUAAUUAAUUUCCCGCCCAUCCUAACUAUUGUGACAGUUAGGAUGCUUCCUCGUUGCUUCCAACCGCUCGGCCAACUUGCUCCCUGUUGUUCACCGUUCGGCCAUCCUGCUCCCCCCUUUCUACCAUUCGGCCCAUGUCCUCUACCGUUCGGUCAGCUUGCUCCCUUCCUUCUACUGUUCGGUCAGCUCUCUCUCCACCUUCUACCAUCUGGCCAGCUCGCUCCCUAUUGUUAACUAUUCAGCCAUCAUGUUCCCCCCUUUCUACCGUUCGGCCCCUGUCCUCUACCGUUCAGUCUCCUUCUAUUUCCCUCCUAUACUUCCUUCUCUCAUAUACUUGCCAGCCCCUAACAGCGUACAUCUCGCAGCACACUAGUAGUUAGUAUUAUACCAAUACUCAGCCCAAGGAAGCACUACACUCUAGCUUUUUGGUUGCUCUGAGCAAAAGCAUCUCAAAUAACCCUCCAAAACCCUGUUUAAUACUUCCAUAUGCCCAUCAGAUUCAAGAUGAUAGGCAGUACUCAUCUUCAUUUGUGUCCCUUGCAUCUUGAAUAACUCCUUCCAGAAAACACUCAAGAACAAUGGGUCUCGGUCACUAAAAUUGAAGAUUGGUACCCCAUGCAAAUGGACUAUCUCCCUGGAAGAUACUUCCGCUAUGGUGCGGGCAUAAUAAGGGUGUCACAAAGGUAAGAAAUGACUGUAUUUGCUAAGGCAGUCCACCACCACUAGCACAACAUCAUAUCCUUGAGAUUUGGGCAGCUUGACUAUAAAAUCCAUACUUACUUCUUCCCAAAUAGCGCGAGGUAUGGGUAAAGGUUGUAACAACCCUUGAGGGGAGGAGGCUAGGUAUUUAUGUUGUUGGCAUACCAGAUAGCUAGCAACAAAGUUAGUAACCGUCUUCUUCAUCCCUAACCAAUAAAGCGACUGGGCUACCUUGCGGUAGGUCCUGUAAACUCCAGAAGGUCCCACUGUGCUUGUCAUGUGGAACUCGACUAUGAGCUUGGGAAUCCAAGUUGAUUUAGUAGAGAUCAUAAGUCUUCCUUUAUGAUGUAAUUGGUCAUGUUCCAGUGUGAAAGCUGGAUGUGAGUUGGGAUCCUUCCUGAUAUCUUCUAUCACCCGAGCCAAUGCCUCAUCCCCCUUAACCUCCCUCAAAAUUCCCCAACAAGGCCUUGCUACCACCCUCAAUUACUUCUCACCUUCUCCAUUUUCCUCUUUCUUUCGGGAUAACACAUUUGCAGCUCUGUUAGUGCUUCCUGACUUGUAUCUAAUCUCAAAAUCAUACCCUAGUAGUUUUGCUAUCCAGUUCUGCUGAUUCUGGGUAGUGAUGCGUUGUUCUAAUAGGUAUCUAAGGCUUCUUUGAUCAGUGUGAACAACAAAUCUUUGUCCUAAGAGAUACGGCCUCCAAUGCUAUAUAGCCAUGACUAAAGCCAUAAGCUCCUUUUCAUAUAUCGAUUUAUUCAAUGACCCCUCCAACAAUGCUUUGCUAAAGAAAGCAAUAGGUCUUUUUCCUUGGGUGAGAACUGCCCUAAUCCCUCCUCCUGAUGCAUCACACUCUAUAUGGAAAGGCUGAUUAAAAUCAGGUAAUGUCAGCACCGACGUUGUGGUAAUGGCUUCCUUCAGCCUGGCCAUAGUAGCACUGGCCUGUUCUGUCCAUGUGAACUGCCCUCUCUUCAACAACUCUGUCAAGGGCUUGGCAACCUUUCCAUAAUCCUUAACAAAACAUAUGUAGUACCCUGUUAAACCCAAAACGUGAUGAUGGCAUUGGGGGCACUGCUUGUAAGCAACAAGGUCAAGGCAAAAGGUAGUGAGGCUGAAGAAGAGAAGCGUGUGUAUUAAUGUUGAAUAAGUUUUUAGUAGGCCUGACCCAAAUUUUAACAAUGAAUCAGUUUGGCUUUAAACCCAACAGAAGACAAAAAUAAGAUAGCAACCCUGCAUUUAGGGUUUCUUCUUCUUGCCUUACGCUUUUGCCCUCAUGAAUAGGAUUUUUUCUCUACUUUCUUCUUCACAUUGCUACCUUUCUUUCUUCUUAGUGUCACAGCCCCACCUUUUCUGCCAUAUCCGCUCUGCACCCACAGGUCGUUUUGCAAAAAAUGGCCGCCAUGGGUCACCACGAGAAACCCGCUUUGCAUGCCUUAUUGUGGCAGCAGGUUGCAACAGUGCCACUAGUUUCCACCAUGGCGUCGCCAUAACCGAGUUUGAUAACAUUCUGAGGAUUCAUUUACCUCAUUGUACAUGCGGAUGCCAUUGUUGUCACACGUAGUGAUAAAGCAAGUAUUGUCCAACUAAGAAGAUAAGUUAACAAUUUUUUAUCAACGGUUCUAGACAAUAUUUGGACAAUUGAAGUAUUUCCUUGGUUGCACAAUCCAAGGAUGGUUUAGCCAUAUUUUAAAUGCUAACACACCAAUGGAUCCAAGUGUCAAACUUGUGUUUGACCGGGGAGAGUUGUAUUGUAACCAUGGGAGAUAUAGACAAUUAGUUGGUCAGCAAAAUUAGCACAAUAUGAGUCGUCCUGAUAUUGCAUUUGUACACAGCGUAGUAAGUCAAUUCUUAUACCCCCCACGUCAAGAUCAUUGGGAUGUGACCACACAAAUUCUAAAGCAAAUUAGGAAUGCUCCUAGCAAAAUCUUUAUUAUUUAUUUAUGAAGGUAAAGGAAAUACUUAAAUUGUUGAGUAUUCUAGGAGUGACAAGACAGAGCACCAAUAGAUAGAUACUUCACUUCAAGGGAUUGUGUUCUUAUUGGAGAUAAUUUAAUAUCAUGGAAAAGUAAUAAAAAUGUUGUGGAAAUAUCAAGUGCAAAAGUAGAAUACAGGACAAUGGCAUUAGUCACUUGUGAGCUUAUAUAGCUAAGGCAACACCUCAAAAAGCUUAAAUUUGAAGAGAAGUUUAUGAACGCAGCUUAAAUGUGACACUAACAACAUAAUACAUUACCUCUAAUCUAUUUUUUCAUUAGAGAAAACAUUGUCUUUCAACAUUGAAACAAGUAUCCUUUGUAUGGCCACAACUUUUACAAUGCCAACACUAACCCUCCUCUCUCUUGGUGUGCAUCUUUUCCAAAUUUCAAUUUCCAACUUUUGGAAUCUUGUCAACUAUCAAGGCAAUGCUUUCACUAGGUUUCUCAUUCAUCGUAAUCAUCCUCAUGUUUGGCAAUGCUUUCACGCCAAACAAUGCAGAAAGCCUCUCAAAGAGAUGGAAGUGUCUCCUUCCCAAGAAUUUGAGCCCGAAUAAGUUAAUAUUCAGGAUUACAUUCAAAAUUCUUGACCUUUAAGUAGUUCAUGCAAAAGGAGGAACAUUAGUAUUAUUUUCCAAUUCCAAAUCCUAGUUAAUCAAUUUAAUUUAUUUAAAAUUUCAUAGUAAUCAGUCAUUGAAAAAGAAUCAUAAUUGGGACCAAAGACUCUACUUUCCAACUCAUACUACGUACAAAUAUCUUGCCUCACAGAGCAUGUAUGAUGAAGAUUGUUCCAUAUUUUCCUAGUGGUGGAAAAGAGCACAUAGUUCUAGUUAAUCUUCAAUAUUACCCCACAACCAUGUCAUGAAGAGAGAGUCAUCAUCUUUCCAUGUCUCAAAUUGAAGAUCCAACUCAUUGAGAGCAUUCCCUUCAAUAUGACUCAACCUCUUCUGACCCUUCAAUGUCUUACGAAUACAAUGUGCCAUCACAAGAUAAUUAAACCAUUGAGCCAAUUAGCUAUUGGUAGCACAAGAAGAUCAUUAAACGUCAAGAGUACUAAAGGGGUGGACCUAGGCUACUAGCAGCUCAUGGAAGCUUUUUCUCCAGACAUCAUCAAUUACACACUCAUGAAAGAGCACAUGGAUGGUUGGCUUUGCCUAGGGUUCAACCUCAACAAUCAUGACUACCUUGAAACAGAGAGGAGGGGUCAACAAGUCCAGGGGUGGUAGUCUCGCCAUGUUCCAACUUUGGUAAGGCAACGUGUGGCUUACAAGUGCUCAAAAUGUUGACACUCAAUAGCAUGUGUGACCACGAUUCAGGGCUCGAGUCUUUCAAGAAUACAUCAAUCAAGGAUACACCAAGUAUGGAUGCUGGGAAAAAAAUCCAGCAAUGAACAGUGACAGAAUGAAAAGAAGGGGUCGCAAAAAAGACUGUUGAAAAAUGAGAAAAGUGGAAAAUCAUGGUCCACAAGAUUGGGAACUCUAAUGCCAACUUGAAAAAGAGAGGAAUAAUCUUAAUAUUUUGUGAUAAUAAUCUCAGUGUACAAGGUUCCUUUUAUAUCGCUAUGACAAUAAAUUCAUUCCCUGAAUUGGGGGAUUCAAUCUUUCAUGAUUAUGAUAAUAUACUAAUUACACAUAAUAGGGAAUAAAUAAGGAAACAAAAAAAAAUAAUAUUUACAACAUCAAUAAAUUUCCUAUCUUACAAUGUUGGCAUCUCAGAUAUGAACCCAAAACAUAUCACAACAUCACCAUUAUCAGAUUUUUAAAUGAUAAUAAAAAUUAAAAAUUAAAAAAAUGCAAUAUGAGGUGCUUGAUUACAAUAUGAUAUCAGUCCUUGAAGUUCUUUUUUACAGGGUUUUGUGCUCAAAAGGUUUAAAUUUACUAAUGAUUCCCUAUUUAUAAACGCAGUUCAUUAAACCAUUUUUAAACCAUAUCACUAGUAAGCAUAUAAGUGUCUCUUAUUACACAUACAGCUAUAAUAGCCAAAAUUUGACAAGGUAUUUUAAACUUGACAUUUAAACCUCACCUCCUUUUCUCCAAAUGGAUCAAAAAAUGAAGAAACAAAACCAGAGGACAAAAGAGAUGAAAAAAGAUAGUCAUCCACCAAGUUAGAAUGACACCCAAAGCAAUAAAGAGGAACCCGGACUCCUUGCCUCAAAGCAUGCAAGACAUGGGUUCUUCAGGUUAACCAGUAGAUGACUCUAGCAGCCAGCAAUUUUACUAAAGAGCAUUUGCUCAUUUUAUUUUACUCCCUUAUUUUCUCACAUUAAUUCAACAGCUUCAGAUUUUAAGGGUCAUCUAGGUGUCAUCAGAGUGAAAAUAAUACACUGGAGAGUGAACUUUGACAGCAUAGCUCAAUGCAGCAUCUUUUGGGGAUAAACAAGGAGGCUCUAUUGAUUCUUUUCUUCAUUCAGAUCAAUACAGAUUAUCUAAAAUAAAAAAUCGUCUUAGUUGCAGAGUUCAGAUUUGGCUUCAACAAGAUAAUGUCAAACUCAAAGUUGAAGCUAUCCUAUCAUGCUUGAAAGAAAGGAAUUAUAAGGGCAUACCAGAUGAAGUGAUUGUUUGUGGAUACGCUGCAAGGCAUGGGUCCAUCGCCGUAUAACCUCUGCUACAUCAACAGUUUGGUGGACUCUUCCAAUUCUGUCAUCCACCCUCGUUAAUGUCUCAUUGCUAAAAUGUGAUCCAUCAUUUUCUUCUUUGUUAUCAAUAGCAGAAAAAUCUCCAGGCUGACCAGAUAAUACAUCUGAAUAUGGAGCUUGAGAACUCUGAUCCAUUGCUGCAAGCAAAGAUGAUCCAGAAAUUCGAUACCUGAAAUUUUUCAUUAAAACGUAAGCUGGUAAUUUGGAAUACACGUAUUGGAAAGGCAAGGCAGGCUACAUCACAAGAUUACCUGUGUUCUCGAUGAGCAAUCAGGUCCUCGAUAGGACCAGAUGCAAGGACUUCAUGUUGACCUGUAUCAAAAGCUCAAUAUCAUCAUAAGCUUACUCUUUUUAAUAAAACAGUAAAAAAAUUAUAUAAAAAAAAGGAUUCUAGGUCGUGGAGAGACAAAGCAAGGAAUCAUAAUAUCAUAAUUGAAAGGAUACUACCAAUACCAAUGGGUUUAUCAUCAACAUUGAUCAUGGAAAAUGUAAUAGGCAUAUCAGAUAUGAUAAAGUAAAAAUAAAAACUUCAAAAAUUUACAAUUUUGUAUAGCUAAACCACAAAAAUGGCAGAAUCAUCUUAGAAUACACUGAGAAGAGCAAAAACUUACCAUUACUCGUUUCAUAAAUACAGAAAUACAAUUGUAAACAUAUAAUGCCAGAAAUCAAACUCACUAGAAUUACAUGAUUCAUUAGACAUGGAAAGUGCAAAAGCAUUAUUAAUAAUUGCACUUACUUUUACGGGCUAAUAAAGAGUCCCAUAGUCUAGUGGCCUUUGAAACUAAAUGGGAAUUCUGACUUGAACUGGAGACAAGAUCGUCCCAGAGCUCUCCUUCCAACUUCACUUUAUUCCUCAAGUCAUGGAGUUUUUCCAAUUCUUGUUGCAAAUAAGCCUGAAUUCAUAUUUAAUAUUGUAAUUGCAUAAGUAACAAAUACAUAAGGUAUAUUCCUGAUGGGAAAGAGGAUAUGAACUAUAUACACAAUACAUAACAUAUGCAAGACGGAUUUGGUACAAAGCACUUCGUAAUUGGUAUACCUCUUCAGCACAUAAGCCUCGAAAUUCACCUGUCAUUUCAUGAGCCAAAUUUGACCACAUAGCCUGACGUUGUACAGCCAUCUCUGCAUUCUUAAGAAACUUUCUUCUUUCAAGGGCUAUUCUUGCCUGUUUAAGACCAAAGACUCCAUUGAGUAACUUAAAGACCAAGUGAAUCAACAUAAAAAUUAAAACUCUUCUUUCCCAUUUUCAUCACUAUUUGCAUAUGAGAAGAAGUCAUAGGAAACACACAAAGACAAAGUAUUAUUGAUACUUUGUACGACUUCAAUUUAGAAAAACAAUUAGACAAGAAGGAGAAAAAACACUUCAGAACAGCCAGAAUGACCCUUUGGCAAUAUAUAGAAAACAUGCCAAACUAGUCAUAUAAUGGCAUCAAAUACAACAACUCAUGCAGAUAUUCCCCAUAACAAUAGUCACUUCGUUCUUAACCUUUUUAAGAAAUAACACAAUUACCUUUGUGACUGGAAGUAGUGUAGCUGCAUGUGAGAAGGCUACAUCAGUCAAUGGAGCGGGCAAUGGGUUAGAAGAUAUGUCAGCAGUAAAUGUCCUUCGAUGAACCUCUCUUAAAGCAUGCAAAGAAAGUCGCCAUAGAAGCUCAACAAACCUACAUAAGAAUGAAGACUUAUAUAACUUUAGAACUGUCAUUAACAAAAUCGAAAUAAUGAGCUUCAAUUACCAUCUUACCAUAUCCGACUACUAUUAAAACAUAUAGCAAAAGCUUUAACUCACAUGGUUGGGUCCGACAGAAUAAACCAAGUCUUUAAGAUCGGUCCUUUUUAAUUCAAUUAUUUUUUCAUAAUCUCUCUUUACCUGUCUUCCAGCAUAUCAGUUCUUCGUAUUAUGGCUUCAUAUUAGUCUUCUCCACAUAUGACAAACAAGUUUAGGUUAUAUUCUAAUUGUACCAUCUCUCAAAUGCAUUAACUCCCAAUACUGUCUUGCAUGUUCACUCAUCUACAACACUUAGCUUAUGCUCGUUUUAGGUCUUUACCGACCAGCAUUCAGUAUCAUAAAUCAAUGAUUUUACCGUUAAUAGUACUGUAAUGAGUACUAUUUAGGGGAAAGGUCUCAUACACUCUAUACCUCUAGCUACUUUGUUCAGUUCAGCAAUUCUUCAAAUAACUCUUAAACUGUUAGCAGAUUACAAAGUGUCCAUGAUUUCACUGAUUAUCGAUAUCGAUCCAUCAAUAAUGCACCAAAUUGCUAAAAAGACAAGACCCUUAAAUCAAACUCAUUUCACCCCCACUCAUCGGGAUCAAGACAGCCAGCUACACGCAAACACAAAUCAGCAUAUCAUCACGCAAUCAAUCACACGCAAACACACUAACCUAGGUCCACAGCACGUAGCAAGUGAAGAAACCCUUGAAUUACUCCUCGGUAACGCUCCCUGCGACUCAAGCUCGCUAAUAAUCCCUUGCACAACCUUUUCCAGCGCCAUCCAAACACAUUUACUCAAAUUACAUAAAAAAAAAUAGAAACAAAAGAAAAAAAAAACAAAAUAGAUAUACCUUACGAAAAUCACGCGACUGCGCGGAAUCGAAAAUGGGCCAGACCUUGUCGAAAUCCUGGUUGAUCGAGAAAACGCGGGUUAGAGUUAGCGGGAGAGAUUAUAUAGGAAACGAGACUAGUACCGAAAGUGGAUUGAGACAUACUUUGGCGGAUUGAAUUGGACCUCUGAGAGAUGAAAGGAUGAAGUAGAGAAGCUGUUCCCCCAAUUUAGGGUUCGAGUGACGGAAAUGCCCGACCCGAGGAGUCGCGUUGGAUGCUCCGACUCCGAUAAUCGCUUGAUCCAGUCCCAACAACAAGCAAUUCGUGUACAUUGCACUCUCCAGCCCUAUCUCUCUCUCCUUCUCUCUGUCCAUCGUCAUCACCUUCUCUCACACACUCUCUUUAUAUUCUUCUUCUUCUUCUUCCUCUUCGGUGUUCUGUAUGUGUUUCGGUUGCUUCGUUUUCUUCCUCCGAUCCUGGUCUAUCGUGACGUGUAAUUGUGUUUUCGAUUUUUGAUUUUUGUUGUUUUAUAUUUUCAGGGUUGAGAUCCCUGGGAAAGUCCGAAAUUGCGAAGCAGUACCAUAAUUUGAAAAGCAGGGGUGGGUUUGGAAUUUCGGAAAGUUUAGGUUUUGUAAAUUGG